GAUAAACAGGGUUACCAAUUCUGACCAGUAAUCCUAAAAUCUGUGAUUAGCAACAUAGAUCAAGUCCAUUAAAUUUGGAUAACAACUUGAACUAUUCUUUCCAAAAGUCCAAAAAAGAGUGCUAAUCACGGCUGAAAUGCCUACCAGAGCAUGAAAUUAAGGAGUGCUAAUCACUGCUGAAAUCUAACAAGUACCCUCAAAGGAGAACUACUAAUACAAAACAUGAAAAGCCCGCCCGAGCAUAUUUCAGAGCAUCAAAGAGAUUAUUGAUGCUAUUAUGAUGCAGGUAAUCAAUUUGCGGAUCUAGCAAAUUCCAGGCUAUCUAGGAAGAAGAAGCAGAGAGCGAUAUGGAGAAGCUACAAGUAGAAAGAUGUCGUCGUGUGGUGAUAGUUCCAUACCCAGUUCCAGCUGGGAUGUCUCCCCAAAGAAUCUUGUAGGUCUAGCAUCUACUAUCAACACAAACUGCAAAGAAUCAUUCAGGGAAUGCUCAAGUCAAAUGAUGCAGCAGCAGCAGCAGGAGGAGAAACAAAGUGAUCAGGUUGUGUGCAUCAUCUAUGAUUUUCUAAUGCAUUUUGCAGAAACAGUGGCGAAUCAAAUGAGUCUUCCCAGUUCCUUGCAUCAUUCCCAGGGCUUAAAGCUGAGGGCUAUAAGCCUAUAACUCCUUGCAAGGUAUGCAACACAUAAAAAAUUUCCAACGUCGUGCGGCCAAUGUGUGAGAGAAUGUGAUUUUGUUAAAACAUAGGGGCCAAUGUCGAGGGAAAAGGGUAUCUCCAUUUUUUUUUUUUUUUUUUGGGAAGUAGGCCGGAAGGUGGGGGUGGGAGCAAUUAUGAGUAAAAACUCAAAUUUUUAUAAACUUGUCAAGCCCAUAAAUGUGGCUUCUCAGUUGGGAUUAACUUCGGAGUUUGGACUGCCUAUUAGCUCAAGCACUGGCGUCUGCACAUGGGAUUUUAACCAAACUAAAGGCCCUUUAUAUUCUGUAGUCUAGUUCAAGAAAAUACUUGCCAAAGUCAAGUUUCACAGCUAGCCUGACAUCUUUGCUUGAUAUUCUGUAGUCUAGUUCAAGAAAAUUCUUUGCAAACUAACCAGAUUAUGGAGAGUAAUGCUCUUGUUCUUUGAGUGAUCAACAGGAGGAUAAACGAUGAUUCUUUUUAGGAUCAGUCCUUUUUGCUCCUUCUCUACUUAAACAUUUUUUAGACAAAUUAAUAGUUGGGUUAAUGACACUUUGCCCCCCGAACCUAUGGGAUGGUAACACUUUACCACCCUGAACUUCGGAAAUAUGCAUUUUGCUUUAUACUUUUAAUUUUGGCAAAUCCAUAUACAUAUUUUUCUUUCCAAAUAA